GCACACAGAAUAAAAGUAGAUCUACGCAGUUGUUGGUCCACAUCAAGCCGGCAGUGUAAGCGCGAAGGUAAAUACGAUGAAGGCAUGGCUUGGUGGCCUCCAGAACCUUUUACAGCCCACGUGAUCAAAUAGCUUGCGCGCGCAUUUCGGCCACGGAAGUGUUGUUGUUCCCCAGUGGUUCUCUAACCUGUUAGCAACUCAGAAAGUUUAUUAAAACGGUUUCCCAGCAUCAAAAUGUCUGGUUGUUGCGUUUGGUUGCACUAAUAUAAUAUACUAAUAUACGUAUAUAUGUAUCUGGCCACUUUAUAUUUGGCCAUCUGCUAAUGUCUUCUAUCCACUCCACUAUAGUACACGGAUCUGGUAGAUGUGUUGAAAAAGUUGAUAAGUCAACUUUUUAAAAUAACUUUGUCUGUGUUACUUCACUGCUGAUUCUUACCAUACUUCCGUUGCCAAACUGCGUGCACCUACGUUGCCACAUCAUCAUUGUGUACAAAGAGUAAAAGGGUCUAUAAAGACUCAUACAAAAUACUCCAAAGUUUUUUCAAGAGGACAUCACCCAACCCAUCUAAAGGAUGAAAACAAUACUCUUGUUGAAUACUACAUGAGACAAACCAUCCUGACUUAGAUCACCAUCACCACCAUCAUCCCCUGCAUCGUGCCCUUCAUCAGACACCCAAAAUGCACCACAAACAUCACAGGCGAAAAAGAAGAAAACGCACAACAAACCUUCCAAAAAACCCUCCUCCCCCUUCCCUCCUACCUAUGGCUGGAAACAACAUAACAGUUG